GUGGUCGCUUCAGCAGCACCUCUAAUAAAAUUGGAACGAUACAGAGAAGAUUAGCAUGGUUCCUGCUCAAGGAUGACAUGCAGAUUUCAAUUUUUUUAAAAUCUUUU